rnacentral:tRNA from 1 species
GGGCGGCUAGCUCAGCUGGUUAGAGCACUUGCAUGACAUGCAAGGGGUCAGAGGUUCAAAUCCUCUGCCGCCCA